rnacentral:tRNA from 1 species
GCCUGGGUGGCUCAGUCGGUUGAGCGUCCGACUUCGGCUCAGGUCACGAUCUCGCGGUCCGUGAGUUCGAGCCCCACGUCAGGCU